rnacentral:rRNA from 2 species
AGACCCGAAACCCGGUGAUCUAGCCAUGGGCAGGUUGAAGGUUGGGUAACACUAACUGGAGGACCGAACCGACUAAUGUUGAAAAAUUAGCGGAUGACCUGUGGCUGGGGGUGAAAGGCCAAUCAAACCGGGAGAUAGCUGGUUCUCCCCGAAAGCUAUUUAGGUAGCGCCUCGUGAAUUCAUCUCCGGGGGUAGAGCACUGUUUCGGCUAGGGGGCCAUCCCGGCUUACCAACCCGAUGCAAACUGCGAAUACCGGAGAAUGUUAUCACGGGAGACACACGGCGGGUGCUAACGUCCGUCGUGAAGAGGGAAACAACCCAGACCGCCAGCUAAGGUCCCAAAGUCAUGGUUAAGUGGGAAACGAUGUGGGAAGGCCCAGACAGCCAGGAUGUUGGCUUAGAAGCAGCCAUCAUUUAAAGAAAGCGUAAUAGCUCACUGGUCGAGUCGGCCUGCGCGGAAGAUGUAACGGGGCUAAACCAUGCACCGAAGCUGCGGCAGCGACACUGUGUGUUGUUGGGUAGGGGAGCGUUCUGUAAGCCUGUGAAGGUGUGUCGUGAGGCAUGCUGGAGGUAUCAGAAGUGCGAAUGCUGACAUAAGUAACGAUAAAGCGGGU